rnacentral:pre_miRNA from 1 species
AUACCUGUCACUUGAAAGUCUUGUUAAAAUCCAGAUUCCCAUUCAGUAAGUCUGAGGCGGGGACCAAGAGUCUACAUUUCUUGUAAGCUCUUAGGUAGUGCUGUA